rnacentral:rRNA from 1 species
UACGAAGGGGGCUAGCGUUGCUCGGAAUCACUGGGCGUAAAGCGCACGUAGGCGGCUUCUUAAGUCAGGGGUGAAAUCCUGGAGCUCAACUCCAGAACUGCCUUUGAUACUGGGGAGCUAGAGUCCGGGAGAGGUGAGUGGAACUGCGAGUGUAGAGGUGAAAUUCGUAGAUAUUCGCAAGAACACCAGUGGCGAAGGCGGCUCACUGGCCCGGUACUGACGCUGAGGGUGCGAAAGCGUGGGGAGGCA